rnacentral:rRNA from 1 species
CCCUUAGAUGUCCUGGGCCGCACGCGUGCUACACUGAUGCAUACAGCGAGUACUCCCAGCUCCGAGAGGCUGCUGGUAAUCAGCAAUAUGCAUCGUGAUGGGGAUAGAUCUUUGGAAUUAUAGAUCUUGAACGAGGAAUUCCUAGUAAUCGCAGGUCAUCACCCUGCGUUGACUAAGUCCCUGCCCUUUGUACGCACCGCCCGUCGCUCCUACCGAUUUCGAGUGAUCCGGUGAAUCAUUCGGACCGCGGCCCCUAGGCAUGCGGAAAGUCUAGUAAACCAUAUCACUUAGAGGAAGGAGAAGUCGUAACA